rnacentral:rRNA from 1 species
UCAACAACGGAUCUCUUGGUUCUGGCAUCGAUGAAGAACGCAGCGAAAUGCGAUAAGUAGUGUGAAUUGCAGAAUUCAGUGAAUCAUCGAAUCUUUGAACGCACAUUGCGCCCUUUGGUAUUCCAAAGGGCAUGCCUGUUCGAGCGUCAUUUGUACCC